rnacentral:rRNA from 1 species
AUGAGUUGCAUUAGCUGGCACUGCCGGAGGCUUGGGAACCCCGAGGCAGUUCGCGAGCUUCGCAGUAUAGUGAAGCUGGAAGGACCCACUCUUCUCUUCGUCAUGGAAACAAAAAUUAAAGGGAAGAGAGUGUGAGACUUACAGAAUCAUCUUGGCUUCGGCGGAUGUUUUGCUGUAGAUAGUGUUGGUCUAAGUGGGGGCAUAGGUCUCUUUUGGACUAGAGAUGUGAUGGUAGAACUGAAGAACUUUAGUUCUGCUCAUAUAGAUGUGAUGGUGAAAUACAAGGACCAAGACUCCUUUGAGUGGAGGUUUACUGGUUUUUACGGAGCACCUCGAGCUGAGGAUCGUCACCAUAGCUGGAGGUUUUUGCGUACUUUAUUUGCUCUUGCCACAUUCAGCAUGGAUAUGUAUCGGUGA